AUCAGGGUUCGAUUCCGGAGAGGGAGCCUGAGAAACGGCUACCACAUCCAAGGAAGGCAGCAGGCGCGCAAAUUACCCAAUCCAGACAUUGGGAGGUAGUGACGAGAAAUACUGGGGGCGCUCCAUGUGAGUGCCAUCCGGAAUGAACGUAACACAAAAAAUUCGAUGAGGAUCUACUGGAGGGCAAGUCUGGUGCCAGCAGCCGCGGUAAUUCCAGCUCCAGUAGUGUAUAUCAACAUUGUUGCGCUUAAAACGCUCGUAGUUGGAUUACAGGGCUUCAAACACGGCCGCUUGUAUGUGGUCGUGGUCGUAGCAAGCUGCAACUGCCUCAUAACCUGUGGCGGUUGUGGUAGCUCGAUGGAGCCCUUUUGUCGCACUGGCCCCGGUGGGUGCCUUUGCUGGUGCUUGCCGGUUGCCGGUGGAGUGUGCCUUGAAUAAAGCAUAGUGCUCAAAGCAGGCGUACGCUCGUGUGUAAUAGCAUGGAACGAAUAGAUUUUGACCGCCGCUACGUUGGCGCCGUGUUACAGCGGCGUUGCGGGGUGGUAGGUUCGAUCAGUGUUGGUUGGAACCACGGUCUCAACGGUUAAAAGGGACACCUGAGGGCACUAGUACUUUGUGGCGAGAGGUGAAAUUCUUAGACCCACAAAAGACUGACUACUGCGAAAGCAUUUGCCAAGAGUGUUUUCAUUAAUCAAGAACGAAGGUCAGAGGAUCGAAGACGAUCAGAUACCGUCCUAGUUUUGACAGCAAACUAUGCCAGCAUAGGGUCGGAGCGGUCGCUCGUUAACAGCGAGUCGGACUACUGCGGGCCUUAAGGGAAACCUAGCUUUCGGGCUGCUGGGAGAAUAUCGCUGCAAGGCUGAAAUUUAAAGAAAUUGACGGAGAGGCACCACCAGGAGUGGAGCCUGCGGCUUAAUUUGACUCAACACGGGGAAACUCACCAGGUCCAGACAUUGGUAGGAUUGACAGACUGGUAGAUCUUUCAUGAUUCAGUGAAUGGUGGUGCAUGGCCGUUCUUAGUUGGUGGAGUGAUCUGUCAGGUCUAUUCCGGUAACGAGCGAGACCACGGCCUCUAGUUAUCAUGUCGCCGAGCCUAACUAGUGCCCGGCCGACUAACUAGAGGGACUAUUGGUGUUUAAACCAGAGGAAGCGUGGCAAUAACAGGUCUGUGAUGCCCUUCGAUGUCCUGGGCUGCACGCGCGCUACAAUGGCAGCAGUAGAGAGUGUCGCUAGCCAGAGAUGGUUGGUUAAACUGUAAAUCGCUGUCGUGAUAGGGAUUGAGCCUUGUAAUUAUUGCUCAUGAAAGAGGAAUUCCUCGUAAGCACUAGUCAUCAGCUAGUGUUGAAUACGUCUCUGCCUCUUGUACACACCGCCCGUCGCUACUACCGAUUGAAUUGCUUUUAAAGCUGGCUGGACCGGACUUGUGCUGCCUUGG
rnacentral:rRNA from 1 species